GCGCCCGUAGCUUAACGGAUAGAGCAUCUGACUACGGAUCAGAAGGUUGGGGGUUCGAAUCCCUCCGGGCGCG
rfam:Brachybacterium muris TCD-AY4 contig_9, whole genome shotgun sequence.